UAUCUGGUUGAUCCUGCCAGUAGUCAUAUGCUUGUCUCAAAGACUAAGCCAUGCAUGUCUAAGUAUAAGUGUUAUACAGCGAAACUGCGAAUGGCUCAUUAAAACAGUUAUAGUUUAUUUGGUAAUCGAAAUUACAUGGAUAACCGUGGUAUCUUCUAGAGCUAAUACAUGCAGGUUAGCCCGACUUUUUGGAAGGGCUGUAUUUAUUAGAUAACAGACCAAUAUUCCUCGUGUCUAUUGAGAUGACUCAUAGUAACUGAUCGGAUCGCAUGGCCUUGUGCCGCGAUAAACCAUUCAAGUUUCUGACCCAUCAGCUUUCGAUGGUAGUGUAUUGGACUACCAUGGCUUUCACGGGUAACGGAGGAUUAGGGUUCGAUUCCGGAGAGGGAGCCUGAGAAACGGCUACCACAUCUAAGGAAGGCAGCAGGCGCGUAAAUUACCCAAUCCUGAUUCAGGGAGGUAGUGACAAGAAAUAACGGGUCGGGGCAUUUGCCUCGGGAUUGCAAUGAAUCGAAUUUACCCCCUUAAUGAGGAUCAAUUGGAGGGCAAGUCUGGUGCCAGCACCCGGUAAUUCCAGCUCCAAUAGCGUAUAUUAAAGUUUGUUGCAGUUAAAAG
rnacentral:rRNA from 1 species